rnacentral:rRNA from 1 species
UACGGAGGGAGCUAGCGUUGUUCGGAAUUACUGGGCGUAAAGCGCACGUAGGCGGCGAUUCAAGUCAGAGGUGAAAGCCCGGGGCUCAACCCCGGAACUGCCUUUGAAACUAGAUUGCUAGAAUCCUGGAGAGGCGAGUGGAAUUCCGAGUGUAGAGGUGAAAUUCGUAGAUAUUCGGAAGAACACCAGUGGCGAAGGCGACUCGCUGGACAGGUAUUGACGCUGAGGUGCGGAAGCGUGGGGAGCAAACAGG